rnacentral:rRNA from 1 species
CCUACGUGGGGCAGCAGUGGGGAAUAUUGGACAAUGGGCGAAAGCCUGAUCCAGCCAUGCCGCGUGUGUGAAGAAGGCCUUCGGGUUGUAAAGCACUUUCAGUGGGGAAGAAAGCCUUGGGGCUAAUACCCUCGAGGAAGGACAUCACCCACAGAAGAAGCACCGGCUAACUCCGUGCCAGCAGCCGCGGUAAUACGGAGGGUGCGAGCGUUAAUCGGAAUUACUGGGCGUAAAGCGCGCGUAGGCGGUCUGAUAAGCCGGUUGUGAAAGCCCCGGGCUCAACCUGGGAACGGCAUCCGGAACUGUCAGGCUAGAGUGCAGGAGAGGAAGGUAGAAUUCCCGGGGUAGCGGUGAAAUGCGUAGAGAUCGGGAGGAAUACCAGUGGCGAAGGCGGCCUUCUGGACUGACACUGACGCUGAGGUGCGAAAGCGUGGGUAGCAAACAGGAUUAGAUACCCUAGUAUC